rnacentral:rRNA from 1 species
UACGUAGGGUGCAAGCGUUACUCGGAAUUACUGGGCGUAAAGCGUGCGCAGGCGGCUCCUUAAGUCAGAUGUGAAAGCCCCGGGCUUAACCUGGGAACUGCGUUUGAAACUGGGGAGCUGGAGUGUGGAAGAGGGGGGUGGAAUUCCAGGUGUAGCAGUGAAAUGCGUAGAGAUCUGGAGGAACACCGAUGGCGAAGGCAGCCCCCUGGGCUAACACUGACGCUCAUGCACGAAAGCGUGGGGAGCAAACAGG